rnacentral:misc_RNA from 1 species
UGCUAGGCGCAUCACGCGCCCAGCAGCAAUACAUACGGUUGUCAUGUUUGCUAGCAGGACGUGUAUCCCUGCGCUUGUUUCUUCGAGUCUUCUCAUUUUUUCGUUAAUUCUCGAGUAACAAUCAUAUCAACGAGAUCCAAAAAUGGGUGGACUAUCAAGCUGUGAUAGCGAAUUUCAAGAUACAGUGGCCUUCACCAUAAAUGGCGUGCCGUAUACAGUUGACGAAAGUACACCAUCUGGCACAUCAUUGAACGUAUACCUUCGCGAGCAUGCAAACCUCCGGGGCACUAAAGCUAUGUGCCUCGAGGGUGGGUGCGGAGUAUGCAUUGUGGCCGUGAAUAUUGGCGGCAAUACAAUGGCAGUCAACUCCUGUCUGGUUCCCAUUCUAAUCUGUCAUGGGUGGGAAAUUACGACGAUAGAAGGCGUAGGCAACCGCGGCUCGGGGUACCACCCGGUGCAAGCAAGAUUGGCCCAAUUUAAUGGUUCGCAAUGUGGUUAUUGCUCACCUGGGAUGGUUAUGAAUAUGUACAGCUUGUCGCGGGAAAAAAAACAGCCGACAAUGAAGGAUGUUGAAAACUCGUUUGGAGGUAACAUAUGUAGGUGCACUGGGUACAGACCGAUUCUAGAUGCUUUUAAGUCACUCGCGUCAGACGCUAAUUUGGAAUUAACACAGAAGGUUCGAGACAUUGAGGAGUUGUGUGACAUAAAGGUUUGUUCAAAAACCGAGCAAAGCUGCAGCGGUUCGUGCGCAACGAUACAAAAGAGCAAAGGCAUCGGGUUUCGGCACAUAAUAUUUGACAAUGCUGAGUUCUACAAAGUUCCUACCGUAGACGGGUUGUUUUCGAUUUUUGAGAAAUAUCCUGACGCAAGCUACGUUCUUCACGGUGGCAAUACAGCUCAUGGAGUAUACAGGAGUAAGAAGUCUCAGCUUUACAUCGAUGUGAAUGAUAUACCUGAUUUGCACCGGGUCGAGUUAACCAAGAUCGGUUUGGCAUUUGGCGCUAACUUAACACUGACGAAAGCCAUGCAGAGUUUUAAGAAAUAUUCAACCUACAAGGGAUUCAAAUAUUUGAAUCUGUUAGCGGAUCAUAUCGAUCUGAUCGCUAGUGUCCCCGUACGCAACAUAGGCACUUUGGCUGGUAACUUGAUGAUAAAACAUCAGCACCAUGAAUUCCCAUCCGAUAUUUUUCUGAUCCUCGAAACCGUUGGUGUUCAACUCCACAUCCUUGAAAAUCCUACAGACAAGCUGAGUGUGAAUCUUAUACAGUUUCUUGAAAUGGAUAUGAGACAUAAACUUAUAUACAGCAUUAUUUUACCGCCCCUCGAAAGCGAGUACGAAUUCAGAUCCUUCAAGAUAAUGCCUAGAGCGCAGAACGCGCAUGCGCACGUUAACGCUGGAUUUCUUUUCAAACUUGACGAAGGUGGGAAGGUUUUAGAAAUGCCAAACAUUAUCAUCGGUGGAAUCAGAAAUGAUUUUCUUCACGCGCGCAAAACAGAAGAAUAUUUGAAGGGUAAAAACUUGUUGACCAACGAUGUCUUCCAGAGGGCGAUCCAAGUUUUGCACAACGAACUCAACCCAGAUCACAUACUUCCCGAUUAUUCUUCCGAAUUUCGGAAAAUAUUGGCUGAAGGUUUAUUCUACAAAAUAAUCGUUCCCGGGUUUCAGUAUGUUUUAAGCAUAAACCCGAACAAUAUUGACCCAAGACUGCGAAGCGGGGGAAUGAUUUUAGAACGAGGGUUAUCAACGGGCAAGCAGGAUUUUGAUACGGAUAGAAAUAUAUGGCCCCUGAAUAAGCCACUGCCGAAACUUGAGGCCAUAUACCAAACAUCAGGCGAGGCUCACUAUAUUAACGACAUCAAGACAAUGCCAGACGAAGUACAUUGUGCCUUUGUACUGACUGACGUUGCGAAUGGGUACAUCGAGCACGUCGACACAACGGAGGUUAUGAAAAUGAAAGGUGUUAUUGCCUUUUAUGACGUAUCGGAUGUGCCGGGAAAAAACGUAUUCAUACCAAAAGAAGCAGAGAUAUUUUAUCUGCCCUUCAAUGAACCCUUGUUUGCGGAUAAGGAAGUUCUGUACGCCGGUCAACCGCUUGGGAUGAUAGUUGCAUCGAGUAACGCAAUUGCUAACGAAGCCGUGAACAAAGUAAAAGUAAUUUAUACCGGGUCAUUUGAAAAAAAGGCAAUCAUCUCCAUCGAAGAUGCAAUUGCCUCGAAAGAUGACAGCCGAAUAUCUACUCCGGUCGUUAUACCAGCUGAAAGUAGAGGAACUGACACUAAAUACGUGAUCAAGGGGGAUUUCGUCUGCGGCGGACAAUAUCACUAUACAAUGGAGACUCAGACUUGUGUCUGUUUGCCCGUCGAAGAUGGUAUAGACGUAUACACGUCGACACAAAAUAUUGACCUCAAUCAAAUUGCUAUUGCGACAUGCCUGGGUGUACCGCAAAACAGCAUCAACAUACGCGUAAAGCGAUUAGGCGGUGGCUACGGGGCUAAGAUAUCGCGUGCAGCCCAGGUAGCCUGCGCAUGUGCCCUGGCUUGCCACAAAUUGAACCGACCGGCCAGAUUCGUGAUGACACUCGAGAGUAACAUGAGCUCGAUUGGGAAACGAUCUCCGUCGUAUCACGAGUACGAGGUCGGCGUUGACAUUAACGGGAAGAUACAGUAUCUAAACGUAAAACACUGGUCCAAUUCCGGUGCAAUUUUCAACGAAUCUUCAAGUCCCGUAAUAGCUUAUCACUGUGGUAACUGUUACGACACAAGUACAUGGACCCGCGAGGCAUAUGAGGUCAGAACCGACCUACCUACAAACACCUACUGCCGAGCGCCGGCCUCCACGGAGGGUAUAGCCCUGGCUGAGAAUGUAAUGGAACAUGUUGCUAGGGAGCUUGGUAAAGACCCCAUGGAUAUUCGAAGUGUAAACAUGAACCCGGCCGACAAUUGCAUUAUGAACGAACUUAUCGAGGACUUGAAAGUAACUGCCGACUAUAACAUGAGAAGGAAGGCCGUGGAGAGUUUCAAUCGUGAGAAUCGAUGGAAGAAAAAAGGUAUUGCUAUGGUACCUAUGAAGUACCCGUUCACAUUCUACGGACAAUUUAAUGUCCUGGUGUCUGUUUAUGCUCGUGAUGGAACAGUAGCAAUUACUCACGGGGGUAUCGAAUGUGGUCAAGGAAUCAAUACAAAGGUUGCUCAAACGGCUGCCUAUAUUCUUGGCAUUGAUUUGGAGAUGAUUUCGAUAAAGCCAACCACCAAUCUGACAUCACCUAAUAAUACUGUGACUGGAGGCAGCUGGACCAGCGAUUCCUGUGCAUACGUCAGUACUUUUGUCUUGUCAACACACCUACAACCCAUACUCUUACACAGACGCGCGCACACACGCACAGAGCCACAGAUACCUCUUUAUCGAUGGCUACGAUGAUGGCGUGCAAAGAGCUAAUCAAGAGGUUGGAACCAAUUAAAACAGAAUUGCAGGAACCAACGUGGAAAGAUCUGGUGUUCGCGGCUCAUCAGAAGGACGUUGAUUUAUGUGCACGGUACAUGUUCGCCGCAACGAAGGA